UCCCUGGUGGCUCAGAUGGUAAAGAGUCUGCCUGCAAUGCAGGAAACCCGGGUUUGAUCCCUGGGUCGGGAA
rnacentral:tRNA from 1 species